CAAGUGGUUUAUCAAGAGCCUUUACGAUGCUGUAAUGGAUGUCCUAAUAUUCUGUCAAAGGGGGAAAUAAACUGAUAUAUGUCUGAACAUGAUGAGGUGAAUGACGACAUCCUAUAAGUGAAAGAGACAGAUACUCAGAAAGCACAACAGGUUUCUAUCACUUCUUCUUUUCCCUCCUUCCUCAGCAUGUUGGCCCAAGGCAUGCUGGGAUUCCACUCCCCGCUGUGGCACGCAGGAAAAGCGGCGUGACUUCACACAGGAGUAAUGCACAGACACAGGCCUUCAGCAUUUCUUCAUUAUAUCCAUAAUACUGUUGGGUCAGAGUGUUAUUGGAUUCUGAAGGACUGGAUAUAAACGGAUAUAAAUGGAUCUUACUCUAGAACUCAUUCAAAAUUCCUUAAAUAGCAUUUGAGCCCAAGAAGAUUCCCGUAUAUGGUGAGGAAUAACAUCCGGUCUUGAGUGAAGCAGAUGUACCACAGUAAAUCCCUGCUGCUGGUCUUAGGCUGGAAGGGGCGUGGCUACGGCCCACGGGCGGACUGGCGUGUCUCAGGCCACGCCCACACACUCACGCAGCGAUCCGCCCAGGUGUGAAAGUUAAGCGCACUUUCAUCAAGAACAAACUCACCUGAGAGACACGAGAGGACACGGAUCUGCUCCACAAACAACGUGGCCGUUAGAGAAGCGAGAGCCGCUGAAGUGCAUUGUGGGAUUGUAACGACCGUGUGACAAACUGACCAACGGGAUGCCAGUAAUGAGUGCGCAGGAGACCAGCACGGUACAGUAAAUACAGGAACAG